rnacentral:lncRNA from 1 species
AGGUCCAGAGGCCCUUUUCCCUUGAGCUAUAUGGGUGAUAAUGGAGGUUAUGAGCUUAGGAUGCCAUUUUAGAGGUCAUAUCUUCAAAUAAGGCCUUUGAGCCUUUGCAUGAGCACCAAGAUGUUAGCUUUACGUGAUUAUAAUGCUUUGGGAAGCUGGAUCUAUGGUUUAGAGGAGCAGAUCUGACCUCAGGAGGUCAGUUCAGCUUGAGCAUGGCAUGAACUCGCCGAGUCCAAUAUCCGACUCGACGAGUAGGAUGAGGGUUUUCCCGAUAAUCACACAGUUGGUGACUCACAGAGUUGGGGAAGUGACUCGGUGAGUCAGAGGGAAUCUAGAGGAUAGGGUGCACGAUGAUACUCGUCGAGUCAGGAGCUGGACUCGGCGAGUUGGGUCGGGACAUUUCACAGAUUGUGAUCAGUGAUGAAUUGCAGAGUUGAGGUUGACUCAGUGAGUCGAAUGAGGACUAGGAGAGUGAAGAACACGUGUGGACUCGCCGAGUCACAGUUGUGUACUCGGCGAGUUUGGUCAAGGUUGACUGUUGACUUCGUUGACUUUUAGGGUUAGUCAAUGUUUGGCCCUUAGAGUCAUCGGAAGGGUAGGAUAGUCUUUUACCCUUCCUAGAGGAUGUAUAUAUAGAGAGAGAUUAGCCUAGCCCUGAGGGUUGUAUUAAUUAGAGUGUUUAUUUCAUGUGAAUAGGUAGGGGCUAGACCAGAGUUUACCGAGUCAGAGAUUUACUGAGAUAUCCGAGGUGAGUCUUCUCACUAUAAUUUACCUUGAGUAGGUAACAAGAGUUAUGUGACAGAGUAUUUUGUAUGCUUUGUAUGUUAUGUGUUGUACUGCAUUAUUUCUAUGUGAUUUAUGUUGUGCAUGUUUACAGAGUUAGAACCGGAAGGUUCACAGAGUUAGAACCAGAAGGUUCACAGAGUAGGGUCCACGGACCCACAGAGUUAUAGCCUCGAGUGGCUAAUAUGUGUUAUGUGUGGUAUUUUGGGGAACUCACUAAGCUUCGUGCUUACAGUGUUUAGUGUUAUGUGUUUUAGGUACGAGUAAGGACCGCGGGUAGGCGCCGACUUGAUCAGUACACACACGGGAUUUUUAUGUUAUGAGAUCUUGGGAUUGAUAUAUGUUAUGAAUUGAGUUUUAAACAAUGAUGUUUUCAUGAAUAAUGAAUGAAUUAUGUUUUUAUAAAAUGCGAAAAAUUGUUUUGAAAAUUAUGGUGUUACAAGUUGGUAUCAGAGCCUUGGUUUGAGGGAUUCGAGUGCACCUUCGGGCGUAUUUGAACUCAAACUGAGGAAUUGAGAAAUAUUUUCAAAAGAGAACCAAGUUUUCUAAAAAGAGUAAAAGAUUUUGGAAAACGCAGAGCAGAGUUGUGUGUAUGAUCAGUCAGCGCCCGAAUGGUGAUUUCCCAAAAUACCCUUAUGUUAUAUGCUUAUGAGAUUGAUAUGAUGUAUUCUCAUGCUAGAGUGGGCUAGGUAUUCCUAUUAGGACUAGAGUGGCCUGAUUUGUGAUGCCUUAGCCUAGGGGAGGGUGAGCUGCUAUGAGAUGCUUGAGAGUGAGUAGGUAGCAGUAAAGAGCUUAUGACAGAUCUGUUAGAGAAUGGAUUAUGCAUAAUAGAGUACUUGGGACUGGGAUCCUAAGAGGAGGACUUGGGGUGUAUACUUAUACGGUGUGGACGGUAGUAUUGGGCCCGUACUACUGAAAACACCGGGGCAGUGUACAGUUCAAGUAAGAAUCUUCGGGAUGCCAAGGAUCAAGGAGGACUGAGUUAUCGAGUGCGAGUAUGAUUGAGUGAGUCUAAUAUAUCGUAUGUUGUAUUUCAGAGGUAGAUCAUGGUGAGGACACGUUUUACGCCAGAGAGCAGCGAGACUAGUGAUGAGGAGAUCUGCCGGAUCAUCCAUGAGGAGGUGGCUGCGGCCAUCAGGGCAGAGAUACCAGAGAUGUUCGGGUCUAUUAANNNNNNNNNNNNNNNNNNNNNNNNNNNNNNNNNNNNNNNNNNNNNNNNNNNNNNNNNNNNNNNNNNNNNNNNNNNNNNNNNNNNNNNNNNNNNNNNNNNNNNNNNNNNNNNNNNNNNNNNNNNNNNNNNNNNNNNNNNNNNNNNNNNNNNNNNNNNNNNNNNNNNNNNNNNNNNNNNNNNNNNNNNNNNNNNNNNNNNNNNNNNNNNNNNNNNNNNNNNNNNNNNNNNNNNNNNNNNNGCGGCCACUGCAGCUAUAGCUGCGACUAGGCCACAGGGUGGUGAUGCGUUGCUGUUCCGAGAGUUCAGCAACACAAAACCACAGGCGUUUGACGGGACCCAGGACCCGAUUGCGGCGAUGAGAUGGAUUUCAGACAUAGAGGGGUGUUUCUUUACUUGCUCAUCUCCAUAGCAUUUGAGAGUCCGGUUCACGCUGAACCAGCUUCGCUUGGGAGCGAAGGAUUGGUGGAAGUUUGUGACGACGCACUAUACGCCUGCUGAUCUUGUUGCAGUGACCUGGGAGAGGUUCACUGCUAUGUUCCGAGAUGAGUAUGUUCCCCAGGUGGAGAGGGAGAGUUUGGCCCAGGAGUUUCUGACCCUCAAGCAGGGUAUUGAGUCUGUUACAGUGAUUACGAGGAUGUUCCAUGAGCGGGCGAUGUUCUGCCCAGAGCACGUGUCCUCCGAGUAGGCACAUAUGAGUGGAUAUUUGAGCAUUUUGAGGAGGUAUAUACGAGAGUUUGUGGCGAACUCGACGUACCGUACAUUUGCCGAGCUUCAGGCAAAUGCCCGGAAGAGGGAGAUAGAGCUGGAGACCCAGGCUCGGGAGGAGGAUGAGUCUCAGGGGAGGGAUCGGUGACCGGUGCAGUCUCAGCCGGUAGCUAAGCGGGCCAAGCCCGCUGAGUCGAGAUCAGGGAACCAGAGGGGCCGCAUUUGUGGCAAGUGUGGCAAGAGCCACGAUGGAGUGUGCAGAGCAAGGUCUUGCUACAAAUGUGGCAAGGAGGGGCAUAUGGCCAAGGGCUGCCCCAAGGGGUUUGCAGUAUGUUUUAACUGCAACCAGACCGGACUCCGGAAGGCAGAGUGUCUGCAGCUGCGGGGAUCAGCACAGGGAGUAUCUCAGGGAUCUGCCCUUGCUGCCAUCAGAGCUACCGAGAGUCGGCCAGUGAAGGCUGAGGCACCGAAGGCACGAGGGAGAGCCUUUCAGUUGACCGCGGAGGAGGUCCGUGCAUCGCCUGAUGUCGUGGCUGGUAUGUAUUCUUUCGUGUAAUUAUUUUGAUGUUGAGAUAUUGUGCUUAUAUUAUGUUAUGUGUAGGUACUUUUCUUGUGAAUUCUGUACCUGCCUUGGUGUUAUUUGACUCGGGUGCGAGUCGGUCUUUUGUAUCUUUGGCUUUUAGUCAGCACAUCAGUGUUAGUUGUGAGGCGUUGAGUCGACCUCUGCGAGUUUCCAUAGCUGAUGAGAGGGUGAUAUACGCCACAGAGGUGAUCCGAGGGUGCGUACUCGAGAUUUUCGGUGUUGAGUUCCCGAUUGAUUUAGUUCCUAUUGCGAUUGGUGAUGUUUGUGACAUUGUGGGCAUGGACAAGUUGAGCAGAUUCGGAGCGGUUAUUGACUGCGAGCGACAGCUGGUGACCAUACGAGACCCUAGUGGGGGAGUUCUUACAGUGUACGGCGAGGGUACACGUUCUGGGUCAGCAUUUUGUUCGGCCGCUAGAGUGAGACAAUGUCUACAACAGGGCUGUAAGGGCUUUGUAGCAUAUGUGAUGGAUACGUGGGUUGAUUCAGAGAGGCCGAGGUCAGUUGAGGAGGUUCCGAUAGUGCGUGAGUUCCCGGACGUAUUUCCAGAGGAGUUGUCGGGCGUGCCCCCCAUGAGGCAAGUGGAGUUCAGUAUCGAUUUGGUUCUGGGGGCCGCGCCUAUCGCCAAGGUGCCCUAUCGCCUUGUACCUCCAGAGAUGCAGGAGUUAUCCUCGCAGCUUCAGGAGCUACUGGGAAAGGGGUUUAUCUGGCCGAGCAGCUCGCCGUGGGGAGCGCCUAUCCUUUUUGUCAAGAAAAAGGAUGGUACACACCGGAUGUGCAUUGAUUACCAGGAGUUGAACAAGCUGACGGUCAAGAUCUGUUACCCAUUGUCGAGGAUCGACGAUUUUUUCGAUCAGUUGCAGGGAGCAUCUUGGUUCUCCAAGAUCAAUUUGAGGUCUGGGUAUCAUCAGGUAAGGGUGCGAUAUGAGGAUAUCCAGAAGACAGCGUUCAGGACUCAUUAUGGGCAUUACGAGUUUGUGGUGAUGCCUUUUGAACUCACCAAUGCCCCGACAAUAUUCAUGGACCUCAUGAACAGAGUGUGCAGGCCGAUGUUGGAUCGCUCGGUGAUCGUAUUCAUCGAUGACAUUUUGGUGUAUUCGAGAUCUAGAGAGCAGCAUGAGGAGCAUUUGAGGGAGAUCCUCGGAGUUCUGAGAUCGGAGAGGCUUUAUGCCAAAUUCUCCAAGUGUGAUUUCUGGUUGUGAGAGGUCCAGUUCCUAGGGCACCUCGUUAACCAGAAAGGGAUAUUGGUUGACCCGGCCAAAGUUGAGGCAGUGAUGAGUUGGGAGGUGCUGAGGUCACCCACCGAGAUCAGGAGUUUCUUGGGGCUGGCAGGCUAUUACCGGAGAUUUAUCAGGGAUUUCUCCAAGAUCGCCGUGCCACUCACCAGGUUCACUCGGAAGGGUGUUGCUUUUUCUUGGGGCCCAGAGCAGCAGGCCUCCUUUGAGACACUUCGCCAGAGACUAUGCGAAGCCCCGGUGUUAGCCCUUCCGGAGGGACACGUACCAUUUUGAUGGAAGAGGCUCAUCGAUCGAAGUUCUCGAUCCAUCCUAGGGCCACUAAGAUGUAUUUGGACCUGAAAAGAGAGUAUUGGUGGCCCUGUAUGAAGAGGGAUGUCGCGUGGUUUAUUGAGAGGUGCUUAACCUGUUGAAAGGUUAAGGCCGAGCACUAGAGACCGCAUGGUAAGUUGCAGCCGUUGGAGGUUCCCGAGUGGAAGUGGGAACAACUUACCAUGGAUUUUAUCACCAAAUUGCCAAGGACUGCUAGGGGAGUCGAUGCAAUUUGGGUGAUCGUGGAUAGGUUGACGAAGAGCUCCCACUUCCUUGCUAUCAGUGAGAGCUCUUCCGCUGAGAGAUUCGCAGAGUUGUAUGUGAGAGAGGUGGUAUCGCGGCAUGGAGUACUGAUCUCGAUCGUCUCAUAUCGAGAUGUGCGUUUCACUUCCAAAUUUUGGAAGAAAUUUCAUGAGGAAUUGGAUACGAGGCUGCAUUUUAGUACCGCAUACCACCCACAGACUGACAGGCAGAGCGAGCGGAUGAUUCAGACGCUCGAGGACAUGCUUCGGGCAUGUUUAUUGGACUUCGGAGGGAGGUGGGAUACGUAUUUUCCCUUGGCAGAGUUUCGUUACAACAACAACCAUCAUUCGAGCAUUGGUAUGCCACCCUUUGAGCCGUUGUAUGGGAGAAGGUGUCGGACCCCCAUUUGCUGGGGAGAGGUCGGGCAGCGUGUUAUGGGUAGUACCGAGAUCAUGCUUCAGACGAAUGAGCAGAUACAGCAGGACAGCAGAGGUUAUUGACCGCUCAGAGUCGUCAGAAGAGUUAUGUGGACAGGCGCCGGUCCAAGCUCGAGUUCCAGGUCGGCGACUUUGUACUCCUGGAGGUCUCUCCUUGGAAAGGAGUGAUUCGAUUCAGGAAGAGAGGAAAGUUGGGGCCCCGAUAUAUUGGUCCUUUCAGGGUGGUCGCGAGGGUAGGCAGGGUAGCCUAUCGUUUGGAGUUGCCAGCAGAGUUGAGUCAGAUUUACGACACUUUCCACUUGUCGCAGUUGCGAAAGUGCAUAGCCGAUGAGUCGGCAGUAGUGCCACUAGAAGAUAUUCGGGUGGAUGCGAGCCUGAAUUAUGCUGAGAGACCAGUGGCGAUCAGAGAUCAAAAGAUCAAGGUCCUGAGGAAUAAAGAAGUGCCACUUGUGCAGGUCCAGUGGCAGCAUCGGAAAGGGUCAGAGUUAACUUGGGAGCCGGAGCGUGAGAUGUAUGAGCAACAUCCAAAGUUAUUUGCAGAGUGAGACUUCGAGGGCGAAGUCUGAUUCUAGUGGGGGAGAAUUGUAACAUCCGGAUUCCCAGGUAUUAUUUUUAUUCUAUUAUUUUUGGGUGUUAUGAGGAGACUCGGCGAGUUGGAUUCUAAACUCGCCGAGUAGGGUCGCGGUUUUUGCACGCGAGUUCGCGUUUGGACUCGGCGAGUCCACACUGUUUAAUGAAACCCUAAUUCCUCGAGUUUGGGCCGAUUUAAGGGGCCUUAUGGCCGUCAUUUGUGGCUACCAGACCCCAGAGAGGAACCCUAAGUGAGCUAGAGCGUUUGUGAGAGGAAAGGAGUCAUUUCUUGAUCUUUUGUUGGUGUGUUUGCAAAUAGACGAGGACCAAGACAAGAGGAGGCUGAAGAGGGUGCUAAUCCAGUGAUUCCAGGGCUCAGAGACUUCAUUUUGAGGUAUUCAUUCGACCCUUCUUCAGUUUAUGGUGUAAUUUUUAGAGUUAGGGCUUUUUAGCCCCUUUAGAGGAUGGUUAUAUGGAGUAAUUGGUCCCUUCUCGUGUUGGUGCUGUAGAUCUAGACCCAAAGAGGUCCAGAGGCCCUUUUCCCUUGAGCUAUAUGGGUGAUAAUGGAGGUUAUGAGCUUAGGAUGCCAUUUUAGAGGUCAUAUCUUCAAAUAAGGCCUUUGAGCCUUUGCAUGAGCACCAAGAUGUUAGCUUUACGUGAUUAUAAUGCUUUGGGAAGCUGGAUCUAUGGUUUAGAGGAGCAGAUCUGACCUCAGGAGGUCAGUUCAGCUCGAGCAUGGCAUGAACUCGCCGAGUCCAAUAUCCGACUCGACGAGUAGGACGAGGGUUUUCCCGAUAAUCACACAGUUGGUGACUCACUGAGUUGGGGAAGUGCCUCGGUGAGUCGGAAGGAAUCUAGAGGACAGGGUGCACGAUGGUACUCGUCGAGUCAGGAGCCAGACUCGGCGAGUUGGGUCGGGACAUUUCACAGAAUGUGAUCAGUGACGAAUUGCAGAGUUGAGGUUGACUCAGUGAGUCGAAUGAGGACU